UCUUCAUUUCACAUGCUUUCUCACCGGUCGGACGGGCGAGAGAGUGUGUGAAAUGAAGAUA
rfam:Pristionchus pacificus strain PS312 contig1912, whole genome shotgun sequence.